rnacentral:rRNA from 1 species
GACAGAGGGGGCAAGCGUUGCUCGGAAUUACUGGGCGUAAAGGGCGCGUAGGCGGGAUGGCAAGUCGGUCGUGAAAUCCCUCGGCUCACCGAGGAACGUCGAUCGAUACUGCUGUUCUUGAGGAUUGCAGAGGAGACUGGAAUUCCCGGUGUAGCGGUGAAAUGUGUAGAGAUCGGGAGGAACACCGGUGGCGAAGGCGGGUCUCUGGGCAAUUCCUGACGCUGAUGCGCGAAAGCUAGGGGAGCAAACAGG